rnacentral:misc_RNA from 1 species
GAUGAAGAACGCAGCGAAAUGCGAUAAGUAAUGCGAAUUGCAGAAUUUCCGUGAGUCAUCGAAUCUUAGAACGCACAUUGCGCCCACUGGUAUUCCGGUGGGCAUGCCUGUUCGAGCGUCAUUAUCCUCCCUCAAACCCUCGUGUUUGGUGUUGGGCCGCGUUGGUGUCAAAGCCAACUGGUCUCAAAGACAAUGACGGCGUCCGUGGGACCCUCUUCGCAACGAGCAUCUUCGGAAGCACGCGUCGAGUCUAAAGGACCUUCCGGGCCGGUCUACCCUUUAUCUUUCUAAGGUUGACCUCGGAUCAGGUAGGAAUACCCGCUGAACUUAAGCAUAUCAAUAAGCGGAGGA